ensembl:lncRNA
GCUUUAGUCUGUUCUUUAGGUGUUGGCUUGCAGCUUCCAGCAGUAAAAUCAUCUUUAAUGUGUUUCUUGGUGUGUUUUAGGGCUUUGUACUGGAUAGUUGUCUUGGUAAAUGUGGUUCUUUAGCCACAGUUAGCACAUGGUGCUAUUGUGUGCAGUGAUUAGUGGAUUUGGUGCAGCUGAGUUGUGUCUUUAUCUUGGCUGUAGUGAGUUUUUGGUCAGACACAUUCUGUAUUCUUGUUUGAGAACCAGCGUUGGUUGUCCAGAAGGUAAGAGUUCCUGUCCUGAUUCUCUGUUCUCAGAGGUUCUCUGGUAGGCUGCAGGAGACUUUAGCGUUUGGGUUGUGUUAGUUUGGUUUUUGUAUGGUUUCAUUUGGACGACUAUCUUGAGGC